rnacentral:rRNA from 1 species
UAGGGAAUAUUAGAAAUGGACGAAAGUCUGAUCUAGCAACACCGCGUGUGCGAAGAAGGCCUUUGGGUCGUAAAGCACUUUUUGGAAGGAACAGGAAGGAAUGUACUUCCAGGAUAAGUCUCGGCUAACUACGUGCCAGCAGCCGCGGUAACACGUAGGAGGCAAACGUUAUCCGGAUUUACUGGGCGUAAAGCGCGUGUAGGUGGUACUGUAAGUAGGGCGUGAAAGCUCCUGGCUCAACUGGGAGAGGCCGUUCUAAACUACAGAACUAGAGGAUGGUAGAGGGAGGUGGAAUUCCAGGUGUAGCGGUGGAAUGCGCAGAUAUCUGGAGGAACACCGGUGGCGAAGGCGGCCUCCUGGACCAUUCCUAACACUCAGACGCGAAAGCUAGGGUAGCAAACGG